rnacentral:rRNA from 1 species
UACGGAGGGUGCGAGCGUUAAUCGGAAUUACUGGGCGUAAAGCGCGCGUAGGCGGCGACAUAAGUUGGAGGUGAAAUCCCCGGGCUCAACCUGGGAACUGCUUUCAAAACUGUGUGGCUAGAGUAUGGUAGAGGUGAGUGGAAUUUCCUGUGUAGCGGUGAAAUGCGUAGAUAUAGGAAGGAACAUCAGUGGCGAAGGCGACUCACUGGACUAAUACUGACGCUGAGGUGCGAAAGCGUGGGGAGCAAACAGG